CUGCUGGCUAGCUAGCAGUCCUCCACAGCAUCUAAAUUUCACAGCUGUAAUUCUCUAUUUCCAACAGUGAUGACAAGGUGAGGCUGGUAUACCUCCACCACUUCAUCCUCACAAGGUACGAUUUUACUUACAAUUUUGAGAUCUGGAUCUCAAACACCACGAGAAAUGGAAAAUGCCAACCCUGUGUAAGCUCACUGUGCCAAUUCCUUUUAUUUAGAACUUCCAUCAAAUUCAUUUUCCCCCUGCGGACUUCAUACCAGCCUUCUUGAUCCUCCAACUUGUGCACAGGGUGAAGAUUCUAAAGGUGUCAAAUCUUGAGGUUGUGUCACUGCAUUGAUGCAUGGAGAGAAACAAGUUUUCAACUUGCAUCAGUGCCAACAAGUGGAGUCUUCAGUGGCACCUGCAUCUAUUCAGUGUCAGCCUGGUAGGGCUCUCCCCUGUGCUACCUCACUUACUGGGCAAUGAGGAUGCUGCAGCAGGGUGUAGGGUCCAGCAGACAAGCAGGGCUCUGUGGAAAAAGCUGAGCCUGUUUGCACAGGACCUUCUACACAGUAAGUCACUGAGGCCCUAAGGGAAGGACCCUAGCUGUUGAAUAACUUUGCUCAAGCAGGCAACAGACCAGGCUGUUUUAAUACAGCAAAAGAAGCUCCCACACUGACCUGAGACAAGUUGGUCUGACUGUGAAACCAAAGCUGAGCUCAAAAUGUGCAGUCAUAGGUAAACCUACACCUUGCCAGAGCACCUGGGGUGUAGGGCAGGGAAGUGUCCACCCCUUGGACUCAGCAGCAUCAUGGAGCAAGGGGCUGCCCAUCCCCAUCAGCAUGUCUGGCUGCAGGGGUGAAACACAUCAGGAUACAUAUAUCACCACCAGCAUCCAUAGGGAAUCCCAGGCCUAAAAACCCCACAAAAUUAUUUGAUAUGCCCACCUACAGCAAUAUUGUAGGCUAUAAAUUUUGCACAUGGUCACUGUAUUCUUCUAGAGUGUGUAGGCAGUAGUCAGCUUCCUAAUCCUGAAUUUAUUGGCGGCAACGAGAGGAAAGAGGAAAGGAAAUAAGAGAGCAAGCCUCUUGUCAGCACUUUGGAGCACUCUCCUGUUGGUGGUUACACGUUCUGGGGUCCCUGUUGGUUCUCAGGAGUGUCACCCUUCCCAGACCACCUCCAGCAGCAACACUUUCCUGUGGUCUGAUGUGAUAGGACAAGGGAAAAUGGUUUCAAACUAAAAGAGGGAUUUAGACCAGAUAUAAGGAAGAAGUUUUUUAUGGUAAGGGUUGUGAGGCACUGGAACAGAUUUCCAGAGAGGUGGUGGGUGCCCUGUCCCUGGACAUACUCAAGAUCAGGCUGCAGGGGGCUCUGAUCAAACUGUAGUUGUCCUUGUUCACUGCAGGGAGUUGAACUAGGUGGCCUUCCAACUCCAAUCAUUCUAUGAUUCUAUGAAAUCCACCACCUUUCAGUUUUCCACCUUUUGUCACAGUUCAGAAGCAGCACCUUCAUCACUGCUGCUGAGGAACUCAGGCAGAAUCACCAUCCCAAGCUUUAUAUCCUUACCUCAAGUUUCACUUCCAGGACACCUCAAACCAUGAGAGCUCCUGCUGUGAGGAACCUCACCAGGAAAAGUCCAGCCUUGCCCAAUCAGCCUUUAUGUUCAAUACGGAGUAGUAGCAGAGACUACCUUCCAGUAGACUGCUGUCCAAAGCAGUGAAGACUGUGAACUCGUGAGCUGAAGUCAUCAGUAUUUUCCUACAUAGUCUUCUGAAAGGUUCUGGGGAUUUCAUUGAAGCAGGACAAGAAAGCCAGGAUUGUCUUGUAGCUUGGGUCUUCCUGGGCACAGGAAGAAUAGAAAUCAUAGAAUAUCCCAACUUGGAAGGGACGGAUAUGUAAGGAUCAGCCUUGAUUUGGGCUCCCUAUAGGCAGUCAGGCUCAACUCAGGUGUCUCACAUUAGGCAAAUGCCUGAACAUCUGGCUGAUGUGUAUAGCUUGCACAGUGCUGGUGUGAAUGAAUGGAACUCUUGCAUCCAGCGAAGACCAACCAUUAUUAUGCCAUAUAAAUGACAGCUUUGGAAAGGAGUUCAUUUUAAGAGAGCCUGGCAACUUAAAACCUAGCCACUUUGCAAAAAAACAUUUCAAUCUAUUUUCAAACCAUUUUCAGGUUGAUGUCUUCCUUUCCCCAUCACUUAGCAUCUCAUUUUGUAUUAUUCAAACUUGCUCCCUCUUUUUCUGUUGUGAAGAAUCUACAAAAAAGAAUACAAAAACCUAUGAAGGAAAACCAGUCAUCUGUGCAGGCUUCCAUGACAAAAUAAGGAAUGUGGCAUGAUUGAGAGAAAACUAACAUGAGAACACCACACAAAUAUAAUGGUCACAGAAUUGUUUGAAGGGGAAAGACAGGAGGAGGUUUUGGAUGCCUUUAUCCUAAUGAAACAAUAUACCUGCAGUGAAACUGAGUCUCACAGUUUCACAGGAUCACAGAGUCAUAAGAGUUGGAAGGAACCUCAGGAGAUCACCUCAUCCAACCCCCUGCUAAAGCAGACUCCCUACAGUAGGCCACGUGGGAAAGCGUCCAGCCUCAUUACUUUACCAGGUCCAUCAACUCAGAUCUUGCAAGCUGUGCACAGACCCCUGACUCAAUGAAGUAGUUGCUCUGAUUUUUAUUUUAUGUUAUUUUUUGAUUCCUGGCUAACAAGACAGCUUAGAGCAACCCUCGGCAUGCUGUGCCUUGGCACGGGGAACGGGGCUGUCACAGCACUAUCUACAGCAGUGCUGAUUCCAGGCAAAGGGCUCUCAGUCGACUCUUUUGCAUUUCCCACUUUGGCUUCACCCAGUGCUAAAAACUGAGCCUGUUUCAGCAUAACUCACAGUUAUCUCUUUCAGAUCAUCUGUAACGCGUUCCCAUUUAAAGAUCCCUUUGUACUGCAAGAGCCACAUGAAGCAGUCGCUAUGGACAGGCGUGGCACCCCAAGUGAAUCUAAUGAUGUGGAAGAAGGAGGGACACAGAACCUUCACAAAAGGCCCCGUGAAACCCUCCCCAUGCACGACAGCCCUCCACCAGGUGGGUCGAUUGGUGAUGGGUGACACCGUCCACACGCUGCCAGAGAGCUCCUCGGCUCUGUUCGAGGAACCAGGCAAGACGUGACUCACGCAGCUCGCUUGUAACGAAGGAGGACCAUCUGCUAGUCAUGAGCAGAUGACAAAUUCACUGCAUUGCGUCUUGUCGCUACUUCCAAAUUUCCUCUUCAGUGGUCACUCACAGCCGGGUGAGAAGAGCAGCUAAAGAUGGAAGAAGAAAGACAGAGACCAGCAAGAAACCUCUGCAGGCUCACCUGUGAAAUCACAAGAAGCAGUGUACAGCCCCAAAGAAAGCAGUGGGUUCUUGUUGACCAGGAUGGAAAGAUGACCUGAAAUUGUAAAGGAUUGAGUACUGAAUUAUUUAAAUUGUGGAAGGAAAGCAUCCCACCUUCUAAACCCUUAGUGCUUACAGCAAGAGGAAAGAUGCAUCCAAAUGUCAAAACUGCAGGAGAAACAACAAUUAUUUCUAAGGUUCAUUACAAAGUGGAGAUGUCUGGGGAAGUGCUGACGCUUGAGUGUUGACUUUGGUAGAAUCUCCAUCUUUUCUCCCUCCUUGUUUUUGGUUCUCUCCCUCGCACGUUGCACCCUGCACUCCUAAAGCUCAGGUAAAAUCAGCACAAAAGCUGUCUGUGUGAAGUGUUGAGGGGCAAUAACCCCAUUAGGGACUUCCCACAGUGCCAGCCUGCAUUACUGCCAAGGCUCAUCUGACCCAUUCUCCCUCCAUGAUGUAUCUGUCUUACAGUCUUCUCACAAAUCUCUGAUGGUUGAAAAAUCUGGCAACAUCUGAAAAACAUUUUUAGAACCCAUCAACACUAAGGCAGAAAAAGAAAUAGAAAAUUCACUAGAAAACAGAUGAACUAUCAGAUUAAAAUAUAUAUAUAUAUAUAUAUAUCCUAAUAUAUGUUUUAGACUUUGGAGAUUUGGAAGAAAAAAAUCUCUCUCUUUUUUUUAACCUGAUUUUUUUCCCAAUAAAAAAUUGUAGCAAAUUCUGAUCUCAAUAAAACACUGGCAAGCU